rnacentral:rRNA from 1 species
GACGAACGCUGGCGGUGUGCUUAACACAUGCAAGUCGAACGGUAAGGCCCUUUCGGGGGUACACGAGUGGCGCACGGGUGAGUAACACGUGAGUAACCUGCCCUCAUCUCUGGGAUAACAGUCGGAAACGGUUGCUAAUACUGGAUAUGAGCUUGCAAGGCAUCUUGUGGGUUGGAAAGAUUUUUUUUGGUUGGGGAUGGACUCGCGGCCUAUCAGCUUGUUGGUGAGGUAGUGGCUCACCAAGGCUUCGACGGGUAGCCGGCCUGAGAGGGCGACCGGCCACAUUGGGACUGAGAUACGGCCCAAACUCCUACGGGAGGCAGCAGUGGGGAAUAUUGCACAAUGGACGGAAGUCUGAUGCAGCAACGCCGCGUGCGGGAUGAAGGCCUUCGGGUUGUAAACCGCUUUCAAUUGUGACGAAGCUUUUUUGUGACGGUAGCAGUAGAAGAAGCACCGGCUAACUACGUG